rnacentral:rRNA from 1 species
GAUGAACGCUGGCGGCGUGCCUAAUACAUGCAAGUCGAGCGAACAGACGAGGAGCUUGCUCCUCUGACGUUAGCGGCGGACGGGUGAGUAACACGUGGAAACCUACCUAUAAGACUGGGAUAACUUCGGGAAACCGGAGCUAAUACCGGAUAAUAUAUUGAACCGCAUGGUUCAAUAGUGAAAGACGGUUUUGCUGUCACUUAUAGAUGGAUCCGCGCCGCAUUAGCUAGUUGGUAAGGUAACGGCUUACCAAGGCGACGAUGCGUAGCCGACCUGAGAGGGUGAUCGGCCACACUGGAACUGAGACACGGUCCAGACUCCUACGGGAGGCAGCAGUAGGGAAUCUUCCGCAAUGGGCGAAAGCCUGACGGAGCAACGCCGCGUGAGUGAUGAAGGUCUUCGGAUCGUAAAACUCUGUUAUUAGGGAAGAACAAAUGUGUAAGUAACUAUGCACGUCUUGACGGUACCUAAUCAGAAAGCCACGGCUAACUACGUG